CAGGGCCGUAACUAGGGUUCGAAUUCAGGGGAGGCAGGGGUUUGGGGGCCGCCGAUUGAGGCCCCCUAGAACCGCCGAUUUUUUUUCUCUCAGUAAAAUGGCUAAAAAUUACCCGUUUUCCUUCGAUUUCCUUACUUUCAGAAACAUCAGUAUUGCUUGAACCUGAAGCAAUUUUAUGCAAAAACAAGCUGAGAUUGCUGUUCGGGGUGAGCCAAUGCUCCGUCUUGAAGGCCGGCCGUACUUUGACCUAUAAUUAUUAACAUUAAAUACAAUGUGACCGCGGAUUUUUUUCUUAAUAAGCCGAUUCAGCCGGUAACGAAUUUCCGAUAUCAUGAAAGAAUCUCAAUACAAAGGGAACUUCCUCUGCUUAAUUGAGCCCCUAAAUAAAUGUGAAUAGUAAGGUUUUAUUCAAAAUUGUCGGAAGCAAAGUUUCAUAUGUGUUCUCGUCGAAACUGAAUAAACAGACGGACGGCCACACGAAAAUAUAAAAAUAAAACAAAUACUGAAACGGUUCACUAUCGAUCAAAAAUCCAGACAAUGACAGAUAUAUCAUGUAUCAUGAUAACAC
rnacentral:lncRNA from 1 species